rnacentral:lncRNA from 1 species
UGAGUUUUGCUUCCUUUCUUCCUCGGGUAACUUCUCAAAUUUUCCCAGGUAAUUUUUUAAUUUUCUCUCUUUCCUUCAUUUCCCCAACAAUGGUUAGAAUCAAAGAAAAUCAUCAUGAGGGUGGGAGGAAUCACGACGGUCACAGUUGAAGGGGCUGUGUAGGUGGUGCUAUAGUGGGUGAUGGGGCUGGACCCAAUACUUGAGAGGUAAG